rnacentral:tRNA from 1 species
UAUGCUUUAGUAUAAGAUGUAUAAAAGUUUUUGAAACUUGGGGAAAUAGUUAAAUUCUAUUAAGUGUAA